CCUACGGGAGGCAGCAGUGGGGAAUUUUGCGCAAUGGGGGAAACCCUGACGCAGCAACGCCGCGUGAGUGAUGAAGGCUUUCGGGUCGUAAAGCUCUGUCAGAGGGGAAGAAAUGAGAGUCGCUAAUAUCGGCUUUUCUUGACGGUACCCUCAAAGGAAGCACCGGCUAACUCCGUGCCAGCAGCCGCGGUAAU
rnacentral:rRNA from 1 species